AUGUUCACCGGUGUGGUGCUGCUGUUCCCUGUUGUCCUGAUGGCUCUGUUUAUCCAGAAGGAUGAGUCUACAAACCACUUUGUAAUGGACAAAGUGGCUGGAGUUAGCUCUCAGUAAAACAAGGAAGGAGAGGGUUCAGAGUCUGCCCUCGUUCACACUUCCCCUUCACUCUGCAAACAGCAAAACUGAGACAAUGAUGAUGGCAACUAAGAGAGGAAGGGCCAAGUACAAUGUCAAUAUUGCUGACCUGCUGCGUGAGGAAUGAACCAUGCUUGUAUUGCAGGGGCAAGCAAAGAUCAGCAGCCACAGCUGGACAAGAGAGGCAUCCCAGAGGAAGGAAAGCACUCGCACUGGCUGCUACUAUGGACGUAUCUAAUUCCUUUCUUAAAGUUGGCACAGAAAACUACAGGACCACCAUAGUGAACAAGAGUGACAAAGCACUGAGCUCCUGCUCCUACCGGGGAGCUUGGUGCUGGUGCCACCUGAACCAAAAGGAAGAAUCAGCAGUAUGA
rnacentral:lncRNA from 1 species